rnacentral:rRNA from 1 species
CAGAGGAGCCAAGCGUUGUCCGGAUUGACUGGGCGUAAAGCGCACGCAGGCGGGUGCGCGCGUGGGGUGUGAAAUCUGGCCGCUUAACGGCCAGGCGCCAUCCCAUACGGCGCACCUGGAGCGGUGCAGAGGGCGGUGGAAUUGCCGGUGUAGUGGUGAAAUGCGUAGAGAUCGGCAGGAACACCCAGGGGGGAACCAGCCGCCUGGGCACGCGCUGACGCUGAGGUGCGAGAGCGUGGGGAGCGAACCGGAUUAGAUACCCGGGUAGUCCACGCUGUAAACGAUGGCCACUCGGCCUUUGGGAACGGAACCUCCGUUCCUGGGGGCCUGUGCUAACGCACUAAGUGGCCCGCCUGGGAACUACGAGCGCAAGCUUA